GGCGGCGUAGCUCAGUUGGUAGAGCAGCCGGCUCAUACCCGGUAUGUCGAGAGUUCGACCCUCCCCGCCGCCA
rnacentral:tRNA from 1 species